rnacentral:misc_RNA from 1 species
CAAUGUUGUAGCUCCAAUACACUGUAAUUCACCUCUUGCCAGAGCUGGUUUUAGAAUAUUAGCAGCAUCAAUUGCACCCUCAGCUGCUCCUGCUCCAAUUAAUGUAUGUACUUCAUCAAUGAAAAGUAUUAUUUCAUCACUUUGUUUAAUUUCCUCCAUAAGCUUUUUUAAUCUUUCUUCAAAUUCUCCACGAUAUUUUGUUCCAGCAACAAGAAGACCCAUAUCGAGGGUGAUUACCUUCUUUCCUUCUAUUGUUUCUGGCACAUCCCCGUUUGCUAUGCGCUGAGCAAGACCUUCUGCAAUAGCCGUCUUUCCAACACCGGGCUCUCCAAUUAGGCAUGGAUUGUUCUUUGUUCGUCUGCCUAAAAUCUGUGUCACUCUCUCUAUUUGUGGCUGCCUACCAACAACAGGAUCGAGCUUACCCUCCUCUGCUAACUUUGUCAAAUUAGUUCCAUAUUCUUCAAGAGUAGGCAUCUUAGCACCGCUGCUUCCUCCUCCAACCCCAGCACCAACAGCCUCUGUGCUUUCACCAACCAUUCGAAUAACUUGUGUAGCAGCUCGUGUGCUUGAGAACCUUGGAGCUGAUCCAAGCAACAUCCGUACACAAG